UACGUAGGGUGCGAGCGUUAAUCGGAAUUACUGGGCGUAAAGCGUGCGCAGGCGGUUCGUUAAGUCAGAUGUGAAAGCCCCGGGCUCAACCUGGGAACUGCAUUUGAAACUGGCGGGCUUGAGUGCGGCAGAGGGGGGGUGGAAUUCCGCGCGUAGCAGUGAAAUGCGUAGAGAUGCGGAGGAACACCGAUGGCGAAGGCAGCCCCCCUGGGCCGACACUGACGCUCAGGCACGAAAGCGUGGGGAGCAAACAGG
rnacentral:rRNA from 1 species